rnacentral:rRNA from 1 species
UACGAAGGGGGCUAGCGUUGUUCGGAUUUACUGGGCGUAAAGCGCACGUAGGCGGAUCUUUAAGUCAGAGGUGAAAUCCCAAGGCUCAACUUCUGGAACUGCCUUUGAUACUGGGGAUCUUGAGUCCGGGAGAGGUGAGUGGAACUGCGAGUGUAGAGGUGAAAUUCGUAGAUAUUCGCAAGAACACCGGUGGUCGAAGGCGGCUCACUGGCCCGGUACUGACGCUGAGGUGCGAAAGGCGUGGGGAGCAAACAGG